UCGGCCAAACAGAAUACAAAACUAAAACUCAGUCCUUUACUUUUCUGAGAGACACAAAAGCUUGAGCCUUCUUCUAGCUUCUUCCAAUAUCCUAUCCAAACUAUUGGGUUGUCACUCUCUUGCAUGCUUGCUUUUUCUUCUGCAGCUUGGUGUGGUUUUUGUGUGGUUGAUCUGCCUGGUACAUGGAAUGUUAGGUUUUCCUUACAAAGUCGAUCUUCAUGCAUCGGCUAAAGAAACGAUUGGAAUACUACUGAAAAUUUCC
rnacentral:lncRNA from 1 species